CUGGGUAUAGAGGAGCGGUUCCUUGACUGGCUCAUAACCAGUAGACGCGGGUUCGAAUCCCGCUACCCAAA
rnacentral:tRNA from 1 species